rnacentral:rRNA from 1 species
AUUGAACGCUGGCAGCAUGCUUUACACAUGCAAGUCGGACGGCAGCACAGAGAAGCUUGCUUCUUGGGUGGCGAGUGGCGAACGGGUGAGUAAUAUAUCGGAACGUACCGAGUAAUGGGGGAUAACUAAUCGAAAGAUUAGCUAAUACCGCAUAUUCUCUGAGGAGGAAAGCAGGGGACCUUCGGGCCUUGCGUUAUUCGAGCGGCCGAUAUCUGAUUAGCUAGUUGGUGGGGUAAAGGCCUACCAAGGCGACGAUCAGUAGCGGGUCUGAGAGGAUGAUCCGCCACACUGGGACUGAGACACGGCCCAGACUCCUACGGGAGGCAGCAGUGGGGAAUUUUGGACAAUGGGCGCAAGCCUGAUCCAGCCAUGCCGCGUGUCUGAAGAAGGCCUUCGGGUUGUAAAGGACUUUUGUCAGGGAAGAAAAGGCUGUUGCUAAUAUCAAUAGCUGAUGACGGUACCUGAAGAAUAAGCAUCGGCUAACUACGUG